UUCUAUUAAUAGCCUAAUUCUAGGGUUGGAAAAUACGAACAACAGUUUAAACACCAAAGAAUUUGGCGGUGUCUUAAUUAAUUAGGGGAACCUGUCCCUUAAAUCGAUAAUCCACGAAAGCCUUACCUAAUUUUGAAACUCAGUUAGUGUACUGCCGUCUCAAGUAUACCCUUAUGGGUGUAUACAACAAAUUAUUAAACUAAUAUUACGUCAGGUCAAAGUGCAGCUUAUAAUUAGGUGGAGAUGGGUUACAACCUUAAUAAAGACUACGGAUAAUGAGAAUAAACUACUCCUUUAAAGGUGGACUUAACAGUAAUUACUUAUACAGUAAUGAAGACCAUAUAAGACAUGU
rnacentral:rRNA from 1 species